GGAGUUAGGAAAUGUAAGUGCGCUAAUAUCGCAUUUAUUUGACAAAGGCUCCAAAGGAAGCCACGGCUAACUCUGUGCCAGCAGCCGCGGUAAUACAGAGGUGGCAAGCGUUGUUCGGAAUUAUUGGGCGUAAAGAGCACGUAGGUGGGUUUGUAAGUCAGAUGUGAAAGCCUUCUGUUCAACGGAAGAAUUGCAUCUGAAACUACGAACCUUGAGUAUAGGAGGGGAGAGUGGAACUUCUGGU
rnacentral:rRNA from 1 species